UGACAUGGAGCCUGUUGGAUAGGGCCAGU
rnacentral:piRNA from 1 species